CCUACGGGAGGCAGCAGUGAGGAAUAUUGGUCAAUGGGCGCGAGCCUGAACCAGCCAAGUCGCGUGAGGGAAGACGGUCCUAUGGAUUGUACACCUCUUUUGUCGGGGAGCAAAAGACGCCACGCGUGGAGUUCCGAGAGUACCCGAAGAAAAAGCAGCGGCUAAAUCCGUGCCAGCAGCCGCGGUAAUACGGAGGAGGCGAGCGUUAUCCGGAUUUAUUGGGUUGAAAGUGGGCGCAGGCGGAAGAUGAAGUCAGCGGUAAAAUUGAGAGGCUCAACCUCUUCGAGCCGUGGAAACUGGUUUUCUUGAGUGAGCGAGAAGUAUGCGGAAUGCGUGGUGUAGCGGUGAAAUGCAUAGAUAUCACGCAGAACUCCGAUUGCGAAGGCAGCAUACCGGCGCUCAACUGACGCUCAUGCACGAAAGUGUGGGUAUCGAACAGGAUUAGAUACCCGGGUAGUC
rnacentral:rRNA from 1 species